rnacentral:rRNA from 1 species
GAUGAACGCUGGCGGCGUGCUUAACACAUGCAAGUCGAGCGAGAAGUUUUGAAAAGAUUCUUCGGAUGAAAUUUAAAAUGGAAAGCGGCGGACGGGUGAGUAACGCGUAGGCAACCUGCCCCAUACAAAGGGAUAGCAUUUGGAAACGAAUAUUAAUACCUUAUGAAACUUAACUAGUGCAUGCUAGGUAGGUCAAAGAUUCAUCGGUAUGGGAUGGGCCUGCGUCUGAUUAGCUAGUUGGUGAGGUAACGGCUCACCAAGGCGACGAUCAGUAGCCGACCUGAGAGGGUGAACGGCCACAUUGGAACUGAGACACGGUCCAAACUCCUACGGGAGACAGCAGUGGGGAAUAUUGCACAAUGGGGGAAACCCUGAUGCAGCAACGCCGCGUGAACGAUGAAGGCCUUUGGGUCGUAAAGUUCUGUUCUAGGUGAUGAAAACUGACAGUAACCUAGGAGAAAGCCCCGGCUAACUCCGUG